CACCGAAACCAUGUGAAUCUACAUACAUGCGACUGUACCCUUAUUAACUGCAACUCUAUAUUGCGCGUUAUAAUACAUAAUACCUAUUAUUGUCAUUUCAUUCGCCUACGCGACUACGCCGUUAACGCACGUACACAAAUUCCUCGUCUCCAUCAGUUCGAUUUUCGUUCUCGUAUCGUUAUAAUAUUACCAUGUACCAUAAAACAUUAGUACAUCGUCGCGAUGUUGUAUAUAAGAAUUGAGCAUCCGGCCGACAUUAUCUUAUAAUAUGUUAUGGAAUUUACAUCUUAUAACAGAGGAAUUAUAAUUCUUAAAUGACGUACAGCGGAGAAAAAACGUACAACAAAAAACGUGCAUCCAUAAUUGAACUAAAACAAUAUAUUGCGGUUUUAUGUAAGCUCUUCAAAUGUUCAUUCCCGGGUCAGAUUUAAACGCAACAAGACAACAAAAUAUUUAUAUGAACAUUGAACAUAUAAUAUAUAUCAUAUUAUGUGUUAAAAAAUUGUAAGAUUAUUUUAUAACAUAUAAAUAUUUACAUAAUAUAUAAUUACAUUUAUAAAAAUCU